GGGGUAGGCGUGAAGGACGAGGACAGAAAGCCUGGGUCCAGUGGGUGGUGGUGGAGUAUCUUCUCUUGGAAAAACAAAUCAACUGUGUUAACAUCAACAAGGAAGUCUUCUCUGGAAUGAAGCUGUAUCUGUAGACAUGUCUCCCCCUGGCAAGCAGGCCUUCGCGGUAGCAAAUGAACCUCAUGUCAAACCCACCCCAAUAUCUCUGGGAUUUGGUUUGCGAGCCCUGGCACCACACUUUAUAUUUACAAAAGUCAAGAGGAAAGAGAGAUCGAAGAGGGGAGGCAUGAGGAGGAAACAGACAAGCACACACAGAGGCCAUUUUACUCCCAUGAAGAGGAGCAGAUGU